CUCCCAUUAAAGCGAUUUUCCUAAUAGAGUCUUAAAAAGCCAUUGAUGUUGCGAGGGAAGCUAAGUGAAAAUCCAAUAAUAUUAUGAUGUUUUUGCAUCUUAUUUUUACAGCUAUAUUUAUAUUCACUCUAUAUAUAGAUUUUUCCACGUCACUAACCACAUUACCAAGAAUCUUUACAACAGUUGAUUUACAGAACAACAUUUUACACUCGUAUCAUCAGCCUUUCUGUGUUUUAUUACAAAAUAAAACAGAUACACUUGAUAAAGACAAAGAGUUUAAGGAGAAAUUGCAACAACUAUGGCCAACUGCAAUAGAAAAUAAUCAACAUAAGACUGGAUGGAAUUUAGGAUUUUACCAAAUAACUAAGGAAUCUGUACCAUUUGUAAAACCACCUACAGAAUUACCUCACUUUCGAUGUUAUCUAGGACCAAAUCAGAUACACGAGUAUGGUGGUAAUACCAGUAUAAUACAGUUAAACACAUGGCUGCAACAAUUAGAAACAAAGUAUGCUAGUUAUUUAAAUAUUAUUAGUGAAGAUGAUAUUGAAACUAGUACAGCAUCACAUGAUAUAACUUUAUUGGUUUUUCCCGAUAACCAUACUCAUAUAACUCUAGAAAACCUAGCUUAUCAGGUAUGUCUUGUAAUACAAGAUUGUCAGGUGUUGAUUGUUCACCCGGAUUCUACAAAUUUCAGGUAAUUUUCUAAUUAAAACA